rnacentral:rRNA from 1 species
AUGGAGCAGGAGGUCGCUGGUGGAUCCAUCACGCCGGAAUGGGCGUCGCUUCCGCCGGAUCUCGUCCGGCUCGUUGCCGACUGCGUCCUCUCCACCAGCGGCGUCGACGACUACAUGGCCAUGAGGGCCGUCUGCCCCAGCUGGCGCUCUGCCGUCGCCAAGCCAUCUCCGCACGCCGCGAUCGCCGACCCCCGUUUCCGCCCACGGCAGUGGGUCUUCAUCAACGGGGCAGACGACGACCAAGGCCGGCCCCUCUUCCUCAACGUCUCCACGGGGCGCUUCCGCCGCCUGCGCCUCCCAGUGCUCCGUGACUACAUCUUCGUCGGUGCGUCCGACGGUCUCCUCGUGCUGGGGGACAGUGAGCCCCCGCAUGCCGCUCGUCUCCUCAACCCAUUGACAGGCGACAUUCUUCACUUUGCGGCGCCCAUAUAUCCUGAAGCUUGGGUGGAGACGGCAGUCGCUGGGACUGAACCAACCAUCGUCUUCUCUCUCCCACCGGUCUGUUUCUCGUUUUAUUGUCCUUUGAAGCGAGGUUGGGAAGACGCGGUUUACUCUGCUGAUCCCACGGGCCAGUUACGUGCGAUGAAGUUUCACGAUGCUGCUUCGGACGAUCUAGGCUUGUUCUUCCUUCGGAGCAUGGCCUAUGCGGGCAAUGUUUAUGUGCUCAGUUCUGGAGGAACUUUAUGCAAGAUCGUUUGGACCGGUAGCCACUGGUAUGGGGAGCGAAUAUUGGAUACUGGCAGGGACGACAAUGGUACUCUCCUGGAGUAUGCUGGUAAAUUGCUGCUUGUGAGAAAGGACUCCGAAAUCACUCAAGUUUUCAGUGUGGAUGUCGAGCGGAAGGUGCUUGAACCAAUCAAAAAUAUCGGCAACAGUGCGCUCUUCCUGAGUUAUAGCAAGUGGAUGGUAGUUGAUGCAGAUAAGCUUCCUUCCAUUGACGGCAACUGCGUUUAUAGGGCUGAUGCUGGAAACCAAUUUGAUAGCGUGUACGUGAGAUAUGAGUCAUAUGACCUCAGCGACGGCAAGAGGAAAUACGUCAACUGCCCUCAGGUUCCUCAAGAUGUUUGUGGAGCUGAAAGCGGUACAAUAUAUGAAGGACCUUUGAGCCUUGCUCAGGUGCUUCUCACUCCAUAUCCAAAAGUGAAAGCUCAAGUAGAUCGGUUCCACCAAACCUAG